rnacentral:rRNA from 1 species
GACGAACGCUGGCGGCGUGCCUAAUACAUGCAAGUAGGACGCAGUUGCGAACGGGUGAGUAACGCGUCGGUAACUGCCUAUUAGAGGGGGAUAACUAUUGGAAACGAUAGCUCAUAACGCAUCCUCGUAGGUGUACCUGCGUUGGAUUAGCUAGUAGGUCGGGUAAUGGACUACCUAGGCGACGGUACAUAGCCGACCUGGUAGGGUGGUAGGCCACACUGGGACUGAGACACGGCCCAGACUCCUAAGGGAGGCAGGAGUAGGGAAUCUGUGGCAAUGGGGGGAACCCUGACCGAGCAACGCGGCGUGAGUUAAGAAGGUUCUCGGAUCGUAAAGCUCUGUUGUUAAGGAAGCGGUACUUAACCAGAAAGGGACGGCUAACUACGUGCCAGCAGCCGCGGUAAUUC